rnacentral:rRNA from 1 species
GACGAACGCUGGCGGCGUGCUUAACACAUGCAAGUCGAGCGGUAAGGCCCUUUCGGGGGUACGACGAGCGGCGAACGGGUGAGUAACACGUGGGUGACCUGCCCUCAGCUCUGGGAUAAGCCUGGGAAACGUGGGUCUAAUACCGGAUAUGACUCCAUGACGCAUGUUGUGGGGUGGAAAGCCUUGUGCGGCUGAGGAUGGGCCCGCGGCCUAUCAGCUUGUUGGUGGGGUGAGGCCUACCAAGGCGACGACGGGUAGCCGGCCUGAGAGGGCGACCGGCCACACUGGGACUGAGACACGGCCCAGACUCCUACGGGAGGCAGCAGUGGGGAAGUCUUGCGCAAUGGGCGAAAGCCUGACGCAGCGACGCCGCGUGAGGGAUGACGGCCU